AAGCAAAGACAAAAUCUGAAAGAUUCUGAACGUUGGCUUUGCCAACGGCACAAAGUGCAAGCGUAGCGAAGUAAAAGUGACAAU
rnacentral:ncRNA from 1 species